rnacentral:rRNA from 1 species
GGGCAAUGGGCGAAAGCCUGACCCAGCAACGCCGCGUGGAGGAUGAAGGCUUUAGGGUUGUAAACUCCUUUUGUGGGGGAAAAGAAUGGAUGGUACCCCAAGAAUAAGUCACGGCUAACUACGUGCCAGCAGCCGCGGUAAUACGUAGGUGACAAGCGUUAUCCGGAAUUACUGGGCGUAAAGCGCACGCAGGCGGUCAGAUAAGUCUGAUGUGAAACCUUCUGGCUUAACCAGAAGACGUCGUUGGAUACUGUUUGACUUGAGGCGAUGAGAGGAAUGCGGAAUCCCCGGUGUAAUGGUGGAAUAUGUAGAUAUCGGGGGGAACAUCUGAGGCGAAAGCGGCAUUCUGGCAUUAGCCUGACGCUCAUGUGCGAAAGCGUGGGGAGCAAACGGGAUUAGAUACCCCGGUAGUCCACGCUGUAAACGAUGAAUACUAGGCGUAGGUGGAGUUAAACCCAUCUGUGCCGAAGCCAACGCAUUAAGUAUUCCGCCUGGGAAGUACGGCCGCAAGGCUAAAAACUC